CCAGGGGACUCACACUGAGCUGGUAGCUCUGUGUGCAGGCUGUGGUUUCCAGCCUGUCUAUUAGACCUGACCGACCAGGCACUCAGGGGACAACACGUGUAUCUUUCUUGACAAUCUGCAAAUGACCUCGGCUCUCUGGGGGUAAUUUAUAAGUCCUGUCUGAAAGGUCGGAGUCCAGUUCCUCCCCAUGCUUCCGCAGUCUUUACUGCAUCCUCGCAAGCACGGCACCUGUCUCCUGAAGAGCAAAGGAAGCUGCAGGCUCUCUCUCUAGGAGGAGAUGGCACAGCCAAGGAAAGUUCCAUAAGGAAAUCAAGUCACGUGACUGAGGGCCUCAAAAUGGGAGGGGUCCAAAACCUGGUUCCACAGUUGACUGGUGAAACCCUGAUGAAGUCACUCGGCUUCCUGGAGCCCGGAUGCCCAGCUUUUAUGAGGAUUAUAGCAUCCCCAUGAAGCAGGGUUUCUCCACAGUGACUCUUGGAUUCACGUAAUCCUUCCUGUGUAGGGGGAAGGGAGUGUAUGGAAUCUGGUACACUAUAGUCCUCCACCCAUUCUCCACAGUUUACACUAUUGAAAAAAUACCUGUAAUACGGCCACAUAUUUCCCUGAAGUGGAAAUGACCCCUGUUUGAGAUUGCAAACGAACCCUGUGUUCUUUAAAACAUCACUGACUCGGAAACUUCACUUUUACUCUG